rnacentral:rRNA from 1 species
AAACUCAAAUGAAUUGACGGGACCCGCACAAGCGGUGGAUGAUGUGGUUUAAUUCGAUGCAACGCGAAAACCUUACCCACCUUUGACAUGUACGGAACCCUUUAGAGAUAGAGGGGUGCUCGAAAGAGAGCCGUAACACAGGUGCUGCAUGGCUGUCGUCAGCUCGUGCCGUGAGAUGUUGGGUUAAGUCCCGCAACGAGCGCAACCCUUGUCAUUAGUUGCUACAUUCAGUUGGGCACUCUAAUGAGACUGCCGGUGACAAGCCGGAGGAAGGUGGGGAUGACGUCAAGUCCUCAUGGCCCUUAUAGGUGGGGCUACACACGUCAUACAAUGGCUGGUACAAAGGGUUGCCAACCCGCGAGGGGGAGCCAAUCCCAUAAAGCCAGUCGUAGUCCGGAUCGUAGUCUGCAACUCGACUACGUGAAGUCGGAAUCGCUAGUAAUCGUGGAUCAGAAUGUCGCGGUGAAUACGUUCCCGGGUCUU